ACUACUGACUGAUGACCUGUUAAAGACCAGGCUUGACAGCUGCGAUGAAGAAUGAACAGAAUGAACAUGGUUGAAAAACUGUCUCCAUGUUAGGACCACAUGACCUUUAAGUAUAUUCCCAAGCCUGGGAUAUCUGGAUCUUAAGUUCUUGUUUCCAGGUUACUGUCUUGAGCUCCUGUCCUGAUUUCCCUCAGUGAUUGGGCUGUAACAUAAGAUUGCAAGGAAGCAUGUCUGUUCAUAUGCCUGUGGAAGAGACCCAAGAUUGCCCUCUUAUGAUGCCAAGCAGCAUUUGGCUCCUUCUCUGCAGACCUGCAACUUGGCUGAAUCCCGAGAACCACCACAUUGGCUGUCAAUGAAUGUUCUCUUCUGUGCCAAAGGGAAGGCUGCCAACUGUGAUUAAAUCCUGUUGAUUUCUGGCCUCCUGUGGAAUGGAACAAUAAAGGGUUAUUUUUGCCA
rnacentral:lncRNA from 1 species